rnacentral:tRNA from 1 species
ACUAUUUUGGCAGAUUAGUGCUAUAAAUUUAGAAUUUAUAUAUAUGAUAUAUAUCAUAAAUAGUA